AUGGCAAGUCCGGAUAGAAGUAAAGGGAAGACAUUAAAAGCAAAAAAAAAAAAAAAAAAAAAAAUGCCCCCAGCUUGCUGGAAGCAAGUGCAGAUUCUGAAUAAGUCAAGGCAUGUUGAAGCACUGAAAGCAGCAGCAACUGGGAGUAAUGUUCCAAGUGGUAAUCAGAAUUUCAGUCCUAGUGUCAUAACUAGCAAAUGUAGACAUUCUGAAAAUGGUGCUUCCUCAUUGGACUCUAAUAAAAAUUUGUUACUAGAGAAAAGUAAAGUAUUCUCUCAGAAUUGCAGAAAACCAGUAGAAGAAAUCGUUCAUUCAGAAACAAAAUUGGAACAGGUUGUUUGUCCGUAUCAAAAGCCAAGUAAAACAACAGAUUCCCCAAGCAGAGUCUUUAUACAAGAGGCAAAAGAUUCACUGAACACUUCCAAAAACUGUUCUGAAAACCAUUUUGAAUAUUAGACGAAUGUAACAGGAUCCCUUUUUGAGCAGAAAGGGGCUUGUAGUCUAAAGUCCAGUUUCUGUCCACCAAGUUUAUUGAGUGGUGGUGUUCAGAUGCCAAAGUCUGCAGCAACCAGUACUGUGGAUAAUAAGAGAACUGACCAGAUGGUUUUCCAUUUAGAAACAAACUCCAAUUUGGAAUCACAUUUGCCUUUUAUCAAAGAAAAAGUGACAACAUUUUAAGUUCAGAAGACUUAGGUUUUGUGCCUGUUGAGAAAACACCUAACUUGGUGAAUUCAGGCACUUGUAACAACUGUGCUGAUGACAUUUUGAAAACUGAAGAAUCUAGUAGAACCUGUCCUUCCAGCAUUUCAAAUUGUGAAAGUGCAGAUUCAACUUGGCAGUCAUCACUUGACACUGAUAACAACAACAGCCAUUAUCAAAAAAAGAGGAUGUUUUCAGAAAACAAAGAAAAUAUUAAAUGCAUGAAAACUUCAGAGCAAAUUAAUGAAAAUAUUUGUGUAGGUUUGGAAAGGCAAACAGCAUUCCUGGAACAGGUCAGACAUUUGAAAAAUUACAUCAGGAAAUUCCAGCAAUUCUCCCAAUGCUGAAGUUAUGGCUGUACAGAGGAAACUUGAUUCUACAAUUGAUUUGACAAAAGAAGGCCUAUCCAACUGCAAUACAGAAAGUCCAGUAUCCACCCUGGAGUACCUUUGAAAACUGUUUUAAACUCAAAGAGCCUCAUUGGCACAAAAUGCAGCCCAGGUUCCUGAGUCCUUUGAGCACCUGCCACCACUCUCAGAACCACCACCACUAAUACCCGAAUUAGUAGAUAAAAUCUGAGACACACUUCCUCACCACAAGCCUGAGCUCAAAGUGAAAUGGGUUUUGAGACCCAGGGGCAUUGCCCUGACUGGCAAUAUAACCAAAAUCAAUCCCAGUGCACUCCUGU
rnacentral:lncRNA from 1 species